rnacentral:rRNA from 1 species
AUUGAACGCUGGCGGCAGGCCUAACACAUGCAAGUCGAGCGGAUGAGAGGAGCUUGCUCCUGGAUUCAGCGGCGGACGGGUGAGUAAUGCCUAGGAAUCUGCCUGGUAGUGGGGGACAACGUUUCGAAAGGAACGCUAAUACCGCAUACGUCCUACGGGAGAAAGCAGGGGACCUUCGGGCCUUGCGCUAUCAGAUGAGCCUAGGUCGGAUUAGCUAGUUGGUGAGGUAAUGGCUCACCAAGGCGACGAUCCGUAACUGGUCUGAGAGGAUGAUCAGUCACACUGGAACUGAGACACGGUCCAGACUCCUACGGGAGGCAGCAGUGGGGAAUAUUGGMCAAUGGGCGAAAGCCUGAUCCAGCCAUGCCGCGUGUGUGAAGAAGGUCUUCGGAUUGUAAAGCACUUUAAGUUGGGAGGAAGGGUUGUAGAUUAAUACUCUGCAAUUUUGACGUUACCGACAGAAUAAGCACCGGCUAA